UACGAAGGGGGCUAGCGUUGCUCGGAAUCACUGGGCGUAAAGCGCACGUAGGCGGACUCUUAAGUCGGUGGUGAAAUCCUGGAGCUCAACUCCAGAACUGCCUUCGAUACUGGAGAGCUUGAGUCCGGGAGAGGUGAGUGGAACUGCGAGUGUAGAGGUGAAAUUCGUAGAUAUUCGCAAGAACACCAGUGGCGAAGGCGGCUCACUGGCCCGGUACUGACGCUGAGGUGCGAAAGCGUGGGGAGCAACAGG
rnacentral:rRNA from 1 species